AUACGGAGGGUGCAAGCGUUAAUCGGAAUUACUGGGCGUAAAGCGUACGUAGGCGGUUUGAUAAGUCAGAUGUGAAAGCCCCGGGCUCAACCUGGGAACUGCAUUUGAAACUGUCAGACUAGAGUUUGGUAGAGGGUAGUAGAAUUCCUGGUGUAGCGGUGAAAUGCGUAGAUAUCAGGAGGAAUACCAGUGGCGAAGGCGGCUACCUGGACCAAAACUGACGCUGAGGUACGAAAGCGUGGGGAGCAAACAGGAUUAGAAACCCUGGUAGUCC
rnacentral:rRNA from 1 species